GGAGAGAAGCUCGGGGUGGCUGAAUUCUAGAGUUCGAAAUUGGUCUAUUCACAUUUCAGCGGAUAAGUCAGCAGCAGUAUACUGAUUUUUCUUACUGGAUGCAUUUUGCGCGUAGUGGUUUUCUUCAUCAUCUUAAAAUUUAGUAUGCAGAUGUUAUGAAUGCCCGUAAUGUGAAAAUUGUUGAUAUGAUAUCUGUCUUUUGACCAAAUUAAGAAUGUUUAAAACUGAAUUCAGUGUACGAGAGCCCUCCAAAUUACUCCUAAGGUUUGCUAUUGUCUGCUACAUCUUUUCCAUUGUAUUCACUCUA
rnacentral:misc_RNA from 1 species